rnacentral:rRNA from 1 species
UCUAAACGACUCUCGGCAACGGAUAUCUCGGCUCUCGCAUCGAUGAAGAACGUAGCGAAAUGCGAUACUUGGUGUGAAUUGCAGAAUCCCGUGAACCAUCGAGUCUUUGAACGCAAGUUGCGCCCGAAGCCUUCAGGCCAAGGGCACGCCUGCCUGGGCGUCAC